GCUAAUAGUUCCACUGUUGUUCCUGGUCCGAAAAACAAAGUAUCCCCAUCUUCAAUUAAUGAUGCAGCUUUUUUAGCUAUAAAUCGUUUUUCUGCAAUUUGACGGGUAUGUUUUUCUUUAUGCGAUAUUUCUUUAUACUGAAAUGUUGAAUUACUGCGUGCACCACCAUGAAUC
rnacentral:sRNA from 1 species